rnacentral:rRNA from 1 species
GGUGAACGCUGGCGGCGUGCUUAAGACAUGCAAGUCGAACGCAGUCUUCGGACUGAGUGGCGCACGGGUGAGUAACACGUAACUGACCUACCCCCAAGUCGCGGAUAACUGGCCGAAAGGUCAGCUAAUACGUGAUGUGAUGUCCCCUUUCUGGGGGGCCAUUAAAGGUUUACUGCUUGGGGAUGGGGUUGCGUUCCAUCAGCUAGUUGGCGGGGUAAAGGCCGACCAAGGCAACGACGGAUAGCCGGCCUGUGAGGGUGGCCGGCCACAGGGGCACUGAGACACGGGUCCCACUCCUACGGGAGGCAGCAGUUAGGAAUCUUCCACAAUGGGCGAAAGCCUGAUGGAGCGACGCCGCGUGAGGGAUGAAGGUUCUCGGAUCGUAAACCUCUGAAUCAGGGACGAAAGACGCGUAAGCGGGAUGACGGUACCUGAGUAAUAGCACCGGCUAACUCCGUGCCAGCCGCCGCGGUAA